rnacentral:rRNA from 1 species
AAAGAAACCAACAGGGAUUGCCCCAGUAACGGCGAGUGAAGCGGCAACAGCUCAAAUUUGAAAUCUGGCCCCCACGCGGGAGUUGUAAUUUGGAGAGGAUGCUUUUGGCGAGGCGCGCCCGAGUUCCCUGGAACGGGACGCCGCAGAGGGUGAGAGCCCGUCUGGCUGGCCGCCGAGCCUCUGUAAAGCUCCUUCGACGAGUCGAGUAGUUUGGGAAUGCUGCUCAAAAUGGGAGGUAUAUGUCUUCUAAAGCUAAAUACCGGCCAGAGACCGAUAGCGCACAAGUAGAGUGAUCGAAAGAUGAAAAGCACUUUGAAAAGAGGSACAGUACGUGAAAUUGUUGAAAGGGAAGCGCUCGUGACCAGACUUGGGCCUGGCGGAUCAUCCGGCGUUCUCGCGGUGCACUUCGCCCGCCAGGCCAGCAUCAGUUCGCCCCCGGGGGACAAAGGCGGCGGGAAUGUGGCUCCCCCGGGAGUGUUAUAGCCCGCCGCGCAAUCCCUGGGCGGACUGAGGUUCGCGUCGCAAGGAUGCUGGCGUAAUGUCACCAGCGACCCGUCUUGAAACNCGGCCAANNNNNCAUGCGAGUGUUCGGGUGUCAAACCCUACGCGUAAUGAAAGUGAACGCAGGUGAGAGCUUCGGCGCAUCAUCGACCGAUCCUGAUGUUCUCGGAUGGAUUUGAGUAAGAGCAUACGGGGCCGGACCCGAAAGAAGGUGAACUAUGCCUGUAUAGGGUGAAGCCAGAGGAAACUCUGGUGGAGGCUCGCAGCGGUUCUGACGUGCAAAUCGAUCGUCAAAUAUGGGCAUGGGGGCGAAAGACUAAUCGAACCUUCUAGUAGCUGGUUUCCGCCGAAGUUUCCCUCAGGAUAGCAGUGUUGAUCUCAGUUUUAUGAGGUAAAGCGAAUGAUUAGGGAACCGGGGGCGCCAUUUAGCCUUCAUCCAUUCUCAAACUUUAAAUAUGUAAGAAGCCCUUGUUGCUUAAUUGAACGUGGGCAUUCGAAUGUAUCAAC